GCAGAGUAGGUCUGUGUGCGUUAAGUGCCAGCCGGACAGGGAGUUGCCGGCAGGACGAAAAGGAGAAGUUUCUUCUUGCGGUACACAAGCCGCAUCCCGCUGC
rnacentral:ncRNA from 1 species